CAGUCGCCGCGGUAACACGUAGGUGGCAAGCGUUGUCCGGAAUUAUUGGGCGUAAAGGGCUCGCAGGCGGUUUCUUAAGUCUGAUGUGAAAGCCCCCGGCUCAACCGGGGAGGGUCAUUGGUAACUGGGAAACUUGAGUGCAGAAGAGGAGAGUGGAAUUCCACGUGUAGCGGUGAAAUGCGUAGAGCUGUGGAGGAACACCAGUGGCGAAGGUGACUCUCUGGUCUGUAACUGACGCUGAGGAGCGAAAGCGUGGGGAGCGAACAGGAUUAGAUACCCCAGUAGUCCCUGUCUCUUAUAC
rnacentral:rRNA from 1 species